rnacentral:rRNA from 1 species
AGUGAACGCUGGCGGUAGGCCUAACACAUGCAAGUCGAACGGCAGCACAGUAAGAGCUUGCUCUUACGGGUGGCGAGUGGCGGACGGGUGAGGAAUACAUCGGAAUCUACUUUUUCGUGGGGGAUAACGUAGGGAAACUUACGCUAAUACCGCAUACGACCUACGGGUGAAAGCAGGGGAUCUUCGGACCUUGCGCGAUUGAAUGAGCCGAUGUCGGAUUAGCUAGUUGGCGGGGUAAAGGCCCACCAAGGCGACGAUCCGUAGCUGGUCUGAGAGGAUGAUCAGCCACACUGGAACUGGGACACGGUCCAGACUCUUACGGGAGGCAGCAGUGGGGAAUAUUGGACAAUGGGCGCAAGCCUGAUCCAGCCAUACCGCGUGGGUGAAGAAGGCCUUCGGGUUGUAAAGCCCUUUUGUUGGGAAAGAAAAGCAGCAGGUUAAUACCCCGCUGUUCUGACGGUACCCAAAGAAUAAGCACCGGCUAACUUCGUG